UACGAAGGGGGCUAGCGUUGCUCGGAAUUACUGGGCGUAAAGGGCGCGUAGGCGGACAGUUUAGUCAGAGGUGAAAGCCCAGGGCUCAACCUUGGAAUUGCCUUUGAUACUGGCUGUCUUGAGUUCGGGAGAGGUGAGUGGAAUGCCGAGUGUAGAGGUGAAAUUCGUAGAUAUUCGGCGGAACACCAGUGGCGAAGGCGACUCACUGGCCCGAUACUGACGCUGAGACGCGAAAGCGUGGGGAGCGAACAGG
rnacentral:rRNA from 1 species